UGGGGGAUAUUGCACAAUGGAGGAAACUCUGAUGCAGCAACGCCGCGUGAGGGAAGAAGGUUUUCGGAUUGUAAACCUCUGUCCAAAGGGAAGAAUAAAUGACGGUACCUUUGGAGGAAGCUCCGGCUAACUACGUGCCAGCAGCCGCGGUAAUACGUAGGGAGCGAGCGUUGUCCGGAAUUACUGGGUGUAAAGGGUGCGUAGGCGGCCAUGUGGGUCAGACGUGAAAUGCACGAGCUCAACUCGUGAACUGCGUUUGAAACUAUAUGGCUUGAGUAAAGUAGAGGCAGGCGGAAUUCCCGGUGUAGCGGUGAAAUGCGUAGAGAUCGGGAGGAACACCAGUGGCGAAGGCGGCCUGCUGGGCUUUUACUGACGCUGAGGCACGAAAGCAUGGGUAGCAAACAGG
rnacentral:rRNA from 1 species